GCCCUGCCAUAGACUAUUGUCAUAUAAUGAUGGCCCUGAGGGAAGAUGAGGCUGUGAAAGACAGGGGGAAAAAGGCGGGCGACCAUCUACCUCAAAGCAAGCAACUGCAGCAGGCACAGGAAAGCAGGGGCGAGAAUCUACUUCAAAGCAAGCAACCACAACAGUUACAGGAGGGAGACAGACAGGAAAUGGUACCUCUAGCCUUCAUGAGCAGGAAGAGGUGACCACAAAUGGUGCAGGUGUGCCUUCUACAGACAGGCAAAGAUUAUAUCCUUCCCUGAGUCAAUGGUAACUGCCUCCUUAUGAGGCAACGCCAAAGCCAGCAAAGGGCUAUGACAGUUUGGAAAUGACUAGGCCGCCAGACAGGCCUAAGCCAUGGUCUCCCAGAAACCCAUUCCAGGAGGCCAGAGAUCCUUUAGAAGAUCUAUGUAAGAGAUGAGAAGUGGGGUAAGGUAGUACAAGCCUUCCCAGUCAACACAGCCCCCAUACCACAGCGCCUUGCCAUUUGGUAUCCACACACAUUGGGUACCCUGAAGGAGUUAAAGAAGACAGUGAAAGAGGAUGGGCCCUGGGGGCCAUUUGCAGAGCAAAUUCUCAAAUCACUCAGUCUUGAACUUAAUUGCCCUCAAGACUGGAAAGACCUAGCCAAAGUAGCUCUUGAGCUGGCAACAUUUUUGAAGUGGAAGGCAUUUUUCUAUGAUGAAUGUGAAUAGCAGGGGGAUCAUAACCACACCACAAAUGUUAACCUCCCAGCUGAAUGCUUGCAGGGAAUGAGAAUCUACAGUUCUCCUGCUGUACAAGCCACAGGCCCACCAAAUUA
rnacentral:lncRNA from 1 species